GAUGAACGCUGGCGGCGUGCCUAAUACAUGCAAGUCGAGCGAACAGACGAGGAGCUUGCUCCUCUGACGUUAGCGGCGGACGGGUGAGUAACACGUGCAUAACCUACCUAUAAGACUGGGAUAACUUCGGGAAACCGGAGCUAACACCGGAUAAUAUAUUGAACCGCAUGGUUCAAUAGUGAAAGACGGUUUUGCUGUCACUUAUAGAUGGAUCCGCGCCGCAUUAGCUAGUUGGUAAGGUAACGGCUUACCAAGGCAACGAUGCGUAGCCGACCUGAGAGGGUGAUCGGCCACACUGGAACUGAGACACGGUCCAGACUCCUACGGGAGGCAGCAGUAGGGAAUCUUGCGCAAUGGGCGAAAGCCUGACGGAGCAACGCCGCGUGAGUGAUGAAGGUCUUCGGAUCGUAAAACUCUGUUAUUAGGGAAGAACAAAUGUGUAAGUAACUAUGCACGUCUUGACGGUACCUAAUCAGAAAGCCACGGCUAACUACGUG
rnacentral:rRNA from 1 species